rnacentral:sRNA from 1 species
UGUUCCAGGCCCCUUCCCCAGCUCACAUCCCUGCCGCUCAGUGUCCCCAUGCUCUCCCUCUCUGUCACUGCCCCCCUGUGGGUCAGCUCUGCCCUCUGGAACCCCACAGAGCAAGGCUAGACCAAUGGGUUUCAGACUCGAAGACAAAAAUUAUGUUUAUCUCAAGUUUUCUCCUCUGUCUGACUUUCUCCUGCUCCCUGAAAGCCCUUUCCGUGACCUGGUUUCUGCUUCCCAUCCUGGCCAUUUCUUUGUGAAUAGGAUUCAAUUUGUCCAGGAACCCUUCAAAGGGAUCCCACAGUUCAGAGAGAGGAAGGGAAACAUCUGACCCAGGCAUACAGCUCAAUGCUCACCUCGCCAGUCUGGAUGUUAAACUGCUGCCCAACCAGGAGAGAUCACUUACUGCCUCCUUUGGUCUCCGAGAUUCCCUCCAGUCCUGAUCUUCUCUAGAGUCAGUUAUUGGCGCCUUUGCCACCACACCCUGGACCAUGCCCACGUCAGACAUGACCAAUCAAUCACAGCGCUUUCUCCCUGAGCCCAGACACGAUCUCAGAAACCUCAAAAGGACACUCAAGCAGCCCCUAUCAUCAGUUGCAGUUGGCACAAGAAGUGAAGCUAUUCAUCAUCCUGGUGACCCAAUGACCAGCAUGGGGAGUGGCCUCUGCCUGGCUGCAGGUGCUAACCAAUCCUUCUCUGCCUCUCAGGUUUGCUACCGGUUUUGCCUACUAUAGUUUGGCUAUGGGUGUGGAAGAAUUUGGAGUCAACCUCUACAUCCUCCAGAUCAUCUUUGGUGGGGUCGAUGUCCCAGCCAAGUUCAUCACCAUCCUCUCCUUAAGCUAUCUGGGCCGGCAUACCACUCAGGCCGCUGCCCUGCUCCUGGCAGGAGGGGCCAUCUUGGCUCUCACCUUUGUGCCCUUGGGUGAGAGACUGGGGCUACCCCAGAACCCUCUGGAAGAGGCUGCCAGGUUGGGUGCCAGGGACUUCACUGCUGGCUCUGCCUCUAAGUCACUGUGUUACCUUGAGCAGGUCCCUGCACUCUCUGGGGCUCAGGGUCUCUCUUCUAGAAAAUAACGCAAUUGGGCUAGAUGACAUGAAAGCUCCUUUCCAGAUCUGACUUGGACUGGGCAAAGUAUGGUGGUAUCUGGAUAGUGUGAAAAUUUUUGAGGUAUUGAGAGUGUCCUGAGUGACAUCACUGUAGAGAUAAGCUGAGAUGGUAAAACGACAGAGCUCAUGCUCAAGAAAGACCCCACAACCUACUCCAUCAUGACCUUGGAAAAGCUACGUUUAUUUUAUAUGGGUGUUAGUUGGUUGAUAACACCUAUACCCUUCCAAAAGAACUUGAGGUAUUUUAAGACAAGAACAAGAACAUAUACAACAAAAUAUAAAUGGAAAUAGAGGAUCAGAGGCAGGGGAAAACACAAACAUAGCAGGACACAGGCAUGCAAAGCAUUACUCAGCUUUAAGUUUGGAUCUGAGCUUCCUGGAAGCCAAAGCAAAAAGGGAGACAAGAUCAGCUAAGGAGUGAGAACUCUUAGGUGCUCCUGAACUCCAAGGCCCACCACAUUUUCUUCCCUCUGCAGACUUGCAGACCGUGAGGACAGUAUUGGCUGUGUUUGGGAAGGGAUGCCUAUCCAGCUCCUUCAGCUGCCUCUUCCUCUACACAAGUGAAUUAUACCCCACAGUCAUCAGGCAAACAGGUAUGGGCGUAAGUAACCUGUGGACCCGCGUGGGAAGCAUGGUGUCCCCGCUGGUGAAAAUCACGGGUGAGGUACAGCCCUUCAUCCCCAAUAUCAUCUACGGGAUCACCGCCCUCCUCGGGGGCAGUGCUGCCCUCUUCCUGCCUGAGACCCUGAAUCAGCCCUUGCCAGAGACUAUCGAAGACCUGGAAAACUGGUCAGUCACUGCCUCUGGCCCCAUCAGUGCUCCUCCCUGGGGAAGCAGGUCUGGGCCCAGGGCUUUUCCUUAGCUCUCUGUCCCUAGGUCCCUGCGGGCAAAGAAGCCAAAGCAGGAGCCAGAGGUGGAAAAGGCCUCCCAGAGGAUCCCUCUACAGCCUCACGGACCAGGCCUGGGCUCCAGCUGAGGACAACGGAACCCCCUUUCCCUGCCCUCCAGAGACUGAUCCUAGCCAGGCACCUUAGGAGUAUAGGGAGGCCCCAUAUAGGUCCAUCCUCCUAGGAUGAAGCCUUCUGAGAGCUUGGUGAAGGUGUCUCCAUCACCACCACCAGAGCCUCCUGCCCAGCCCUGGCCAGUUCAAAGGUUCAGCCAUGGACCUUUCCAUACCCAUCCCUGCCCUUGUUCUCCCUGCAACCCAGGCCCUGCCAUUCUUCUGUCUAGCCCUUCCCCACUGGCCACCUUCCCCCACUGUCCCGGUCCUCUUCCCCUGAGGUCCCCUGAUAUCCCCUGGCUCAGUCCUAACAAGACUGAGUCUUAACAAGAUGAGAAGUCCUCCCCUUCUUGCCUCCCACACUUUUCUUUGAUGGGAGGUUUCAAUAAACAGCGAUAAGAACUCA